rnacentral:rRNA from 1 species
UGGGGAAUAUUGCACAAUGGGCGCAAGCCUGAUGCAGCGACGCCGCGUGAGGGAUGGAGGCCUUCGGGUUGUAAACCUCUUUCGCCAGUGAAGCAGGCCAUCUUCUUUGUGGGGUGGUUGACGGUAGCUGGAUAAGAAGCGCCGGCUAACUACGUGCCAGCAGCCGCGGUAAUACGUAGGGCGCGAGCGUUGUCCGGAAUUAUUGGGCGUAAAGAGCUCGUAGGCGGCUGGUCGCGUCUGUCGUGAAAUCCCCUGGCUUAACUGGGGGCUUGCGGUGGGUGCGGGCCGGCUGGAGUGCGGUAGGGGAGACUGGAAUUCCUGGUGUAGCGGUGGAAUGCGCAGAUAUCAGGAGGAACACCGGUGGCGAAGGCGGGUCUCUGGGCCGUUACUGACGCUGAGGAGCGAAAGCGUGGGGAGCGAACAGG